UGGGGAAUCUUGGACAAUGGGGGCAACCCUGAUCCAGCAAUGCCGCGUGUGGGAUGAAGGCCUUCGGGUUGUAAACCACUUUUGGCGGGGGCGAAAUAUCGAGUGCUAAUACCAUUCGGUGAUGACGGUACCCGCAGAAUAAGCACCGGCUAACUACGUGCCAGCAGCCGCGGUAAUACGUAGGGUGCAAGCGUUAAUCGGAAUUACUGGGCGUAAAGCGUGCGCGGGCGGUUAGGUAAGACAGGUGUGAAAUUCCCGGGCUCAACCUGGGAACUGCAUUUGUGACUGCCUGACUAGAGUGCGGCAGAGGGGAGUGGAAUUCCGCGUGUAGCAGUGAAAUGCGUAGAUAUGCGGAGGAACACCGAUGGCGAAGGCAACUCCCUGGGCCUGCACUGACGCUCAUGCACGAAAAGCGUGGGGAGCAAAACAGGAUUAGAUACCCUGGUAGUCCACGCCCUAAAACGAUGUCGACUAGUUGUUGGACGGGUUACUGUUCAGUAAC
rnacentral:rRNA from 1 species